rnacentral:rRNA from 1 species
CAGGACGAACGCUGGCGGCGUGCCUAACACAUGCAAGUCGAGCGGGGACAUUGCGACGGAGGCGAAGUACUCGUACGGAGUCAAAGAUGUAAUGUUCUAGCGGCGGACGGGUGAGUAACGCGUGAGCAACCUGUCCCUUACAGGGGGAUAACACAGCGAAAGUUGUACUAAUACCGCAUAAGACCACAGAGUGACAUCGCUCAGGGGUCAAAGGAGCAAUCCGGUAAGGGGUGGGCUCGCGUCCGAUUAGAUAGUUGGUGAGGUAACGGCCCACCAAGUCGACGAUCGGUAGCCGACCUGAGAGGGUGAUCGGCCACAUUGGGACUGAGACACGGCCCAAACUCCUACGGGAGGCAGCAGUGGGGAAUAUUGGGCAAAUGGGGGAAACCCUGACCCAGCAACGCCGCGUGAGGGAAGAAGGUUUUCGGAUCGUAAACCUCUGUCCCAGGUGAAGAGGAAGAGACGGUAGCCUGGGAGGAAGCCCCGGCUAACUACGUGCCAGCCGCCGC